UGUCCCCCAGGUUGCGCCACAGUCGAAAGUACUGUCGAUCUAUUGCUAUUCGCUAACCUAUGUCUCGUUGAGCACCAUUAUUCAGAUCAGGCAUUAGGAAGAUUCUUGUUUCUUCGUGUAAAAAUUUGUUCGGCCUCGCUUAUUCUUUGAAAUAGAUAGUUGUGGAAUAUCUUAGUUGUGAAAUGUUUGUUUGGUUUCUUAUAUGUGACAUAAAUGAAAUUUGUAUUUAGAAAUUUACUUGUGGACUCGAAGAUGUCUCGAUUCAAUGAAAAUUGUUUUAAAUGUUUAUUCAAGGAUUUGAAAACAAUCUCAAGAAUCAAAAUCUCUGUUUCUGAAUUUCGUCGACGGCGUCUAGAAUUCUAGAAUCCUUCCUUCACAUUGCGAGCUUCUUCGAAACGAAUGUAUUUAGCACCGAUCGAGGAUUAUUUUUAGUCAUUGCGUGUAUUUUUAGGGUCUCCAUCGCAUGUAAGUACAAAGUCGUCCAUCCGUGUACGCGUUGGGGUUCGCUGCGUCGAACUCUGCUUCGUCGACAAACUUCGCAAAAGGGUAGGGCAAAACUUUUUUUUUUUAUGUUUAUUAAUAAAGAAGAAGCACCGAGAAAAGACUCCGUGAAGCUUCAACCGUCGCUUUUCUGCUUUCUCCACUUUCUCUUUUUUUUUUUUUUUUCUCUCAGAAAAUGAAAAUUGUCAGAUCAAAUUUAGGCGGGUUACACGAUGCACGAUAGAAUAUUAUAUUUUGUAGCAUGGACAGUGUGAUGGUUCACGAUAAAAUUCACGAUUGAAACGUCAGAGUUGACUGACGAGAGCCAUUUAAUUAUCGGAUUGCUAGACUGACUCGAUUAACGUAUGCUCGAUGAUUUUCUCCCCUAUCACGCGAUAAUCGUUAAUGUAAUAACGGGGAAAAAAUCAGGCGGAAGAGUGUGAAUCAAACCCAGAGAAACAUCAGGCUUCAUAUUAAUAAUAGAGUAUAUAUCGUAUGAUAACGCAUCAGUGGAACCGGUUGUUGAAUGGAAGUUAUUAUCAUAGAUAAAUCGUGCCCUUGUAUCGUUACGUUGCAUUCUUGGUGGAUCUACAUUAUAUAUAUGUAAUAUAUAGUAUAAUGAACGUUUCAUAUAUAUAUAUAUAUAUAUGAUGUACAUAGAAUAAAAUAAAAAGUAAAAUAAAAUAAAAUACAAAAUAUAAUAAUAAUCUUAAAUAUAAAAUGUACAUAUAUAGAAUUAAAAAUUUAUAAAAUACAUGAAACUGUAAUAAUAUAUUACAUAGAUUCUUUGUAAUAUAAUAUAAAAGAAUUAAUUAUAAAUACAUGUUUUAAUUCAUAAUUA